UACGUAGGGCGCAAGCGUUGUCCGGAAUUAUUGGGCGUAAAGAGCUCGUAGGCGGUUUGUCGCGUCUGCUGUGAAAACCUAAGGCUCAACCUUGGGCUUGCAGUGGGUACGGGCAGACUAGAGUGCGGUAGGGGUGACUGGAAUUCCUGGUGUAGCGGCGGAAUGCGCAGAUAUCAGGAGGAACACCGAUGGCGAAGGCAGGUCACUGGGCCGCAACUGACGCUGAGGAGCGAAAGCAUGGGGAGCGAACAGG
rnacentral:rRNA from 1 species